AACGAACGCUGGCGGCGCGCUUAACACAUGCAAGUCGAACGAGAAGGCGUAGCAAUACGCUUGUAAAGUGGCGAACGGGUGAGGAAUACAUGGGUAACCUACCCUCGAGUGGGGGAUAACCCGCCGAAAGGCGGGCUAAUACCGCGUACGCUUCCGAUCUUGCGGGAUCGGAAGGAAAGCUGUCCCAAGGGGAUGGCGCUCAAGGAUGGGCUCAUGUCCUAUCAGCUUGUUGGUAGGGUAACGGCCUACCAAGGCAUCGACGGGUAGCUGGUCUGAGAGGACGAUCAGCCACACUGGCACUGCGACACGGGCCAGACUCCUACGGGAGGCAGCAGUGAGGAAUAUUGCGCAAUGGGCGAAAGCCUGACGCAGCGACGCCGCGUGGGGGA
rnacentral:rRNA from 1 species